CUACGGGCGGCACCAGUGGGGAAUAUUGGACAAUGGGCGAAAGCCUGAUCCAGCCAUGCCGCGUGGAUGAAGAAGGCCCUAGGGUUGUAAAGUCCUUUCGGUGGUGAAGAUAAUGACGGUAACCACAGAAGAAGCCCCGGCUAAUUUCGUGCCAGCAGCCGCGGUAAUACGAAAGGGGCUAGCGUUGUUCGGAAUUACUGGGCGUAAAGCGCACGUAGGCGGCCUUGUAAGUUGGGGGUGAAAUCCCGGAGCUCAACUCCGGAACUGCCUUCAAAACUACAAAGCUAGAGGAUGUGAGAGGAUAGUGGAAUUCCGAGUGUAGAGGUGAAAUUCGUAGAUAUUCGGAAGAACACCGGUGGCGAAGGCGACUGUCUGGCACAUUUCUGACGCUGAGGUGCGAAAGCGUGGGGAGCAAACAGGAUUAGAUACCCGUGUAGUC
rnacentral:rRNA from 1 species